UUAAAAAAUUAACAUCAUCCGAUCCCUAGUCGGCAUAGUUUAUGGUUAAGACUACGACGGUAUCUGAUCGUCUUCGAUCCCCUAACUUUCGUUCUUGAUUAAUGAAAACAUCCUUGGCAAAUGCUUUCGCAGUAGUUAGUCUUCAAUAAAUCCAAGAAUUUCACCUCUGACAAUUGAAUACUAAUGCCCCCAACUAUCCCUAUUAAUCAUUACGUCAAUCCUAGAAACCAACAAAAUAGGAUCAAACGUCCUAUUUCAUUAUUCCAUGCUAAUGUAUUCAAGCGUUAGCUUGCUUUAAACACUCUAAUUUUUUCAAAGUAACAGUCCUGUUUCCCUGCAACACCAAAUUAAUGACAUUACAGUUCUUCAGAAAGGAGGAAUCAGCGAAACCAGUGCGUACCAGAGGCACGACCAACCUGCUGACCCCGAAAUUCAACUACGAGCUUUUUAACUGCAACAACUUUAAUAUACGCUAUUGGAGCUGGAAUUAC
rnacentral:rRNA from 1 species